rnacentral:rRNA from 1 species
CGGCGCACAUAAGACAUGCAAGUCGAACGGAAGUCGUUAUAAUUGAUUCUGAAUGAAAGAUUAUCCGGAAUGAUGAUGAUUUAUAACAAUGGCUUAGUGGCGGACUGGUGAGUAACGCGUAAGCAAUCUGCCUAUCAAGAGGGGGAAUAACAGUGAGAAAUCAUUGCUAAUACCGCAUAUGCCAUGAGUAUCGCAUGAUACAAUUGGGAAAGGAGUAAUCCGCUGAUAGAUGAGCUUGCGUCUGAUUAACUUGUUGGUGGGGUAACGGCCUACCAAGGUGACGAUCAGUAGCCGGACUGAGAGGUUGAACGGCCACAUUGGGACUGAGAUACGGCCCAGACUCCUACGGGAGGCAGCAGUCGGGAAUAUUGCGCAAUGGAGGAAAAACCUCUGACGCAGUGACGCCGCGUAUAGGAUGAAGGUUUUCGGAUUGUAAACUAUUGUCGUUAGGGAAGAUUUAAGACAGUACCUAAGGAGGAAGCUCCGGCUAACUACGUGCCAGCCGCGGC